GGCUCAGGAUGAACGCUGGCGGCGUGCCUAAUACAUGCAAGUCGAGCGAAUGGAUURAGAGCUUGCUCUYAWGAAGUUAGCGGCGGACGGGUGAGUAACACGUGGGUAACCUGCCCAUAAGACUGGGAUAACUCCGGGAAACCGGGGCUAAUACCGGAUAACAUUUUGAACUGCAUGGUUCGAAAUUGAAAGGCGGCUUCGGCUGUCACUUAUGGAUGGACCCGCGUCGCAUUAGCUAGUUGGUGAGGUAACGGCUCACCAAGGCAACGAUGCGUAGCCGACCUGAGAGGGUGAUCGGCCACACUGGGACUGAGACACGGCCCAGACUCCUACGGGAGGCAGCAGUAGGGAAUCUUCCGCAAUGGACGAAAGUCUGACGGAGCAACGCCGCGUGAGUGAUGAAGGCUUUCGGGUCGUAAAACUCUGUUGUUAGGGAAGAACAAGUGCUAGUUGAAUAAGCUGGCACCUGAC
rnacentral:rRNA from 1 species